GUGUCAGCAGCCGCGGUAAUACAGAGGGUGCGAGCGUUAAUCGGAAUUACUGGGCGUAAAGCGCGCGUAGGCGGCUUGGCAUGUCGGGUGUGAAAUCCCCGGGCUCAACCUGGGAACUGCAUCCGAAACUGCCUUGCUAGAGUAUGGGAGAGGGAAGUGGAAUUUCCGGUGUAGCAGUGAAAUGCGUAGAUAUCGGAAGGAACACCAGUGGCGAAGGCGACUUCCUGGACCAAUACUGACGCUCAAGUGCGAAAGCGUGGGGAGCAAACAGGAUUAGAAACCCUGGUAGUCC
rnacentral:rRNA from 1 species